GAUCAUGGCUCAGGACGAACGCUGGCGGCGUGCCUAAUACAUGCAAGUAGAACGCUGAAGGAGGAGCUUGCUUCUCUGGAUGAGUUGCGAACGGGUGAGUAACGCGUAGGUAACCUGCCUGGUAGCGGGGGAUAACUAUUGGAAACGAUAGCUAAUACCGCAUAAAAUUGAUUAUUGCAUGAUAGUCAAUUAAAAGGUGCAAUUGCAUCACUACCAGAUGG
rnacentral:rRNA from 1 species